rnacentral:rRNA from 1 species
UACAGAGGUGGCAAGCGUUGUUCGGAAUUACUGGGCGUAAAGGGCGCGUAGGCGGCCAUCUAAGUCAGACGUGAAAUCCCCCGGCUUAACCUGGGAACUGCAUCCGAUACUGGAUGGCUUGAAUCCGGGAGAGGGAUGCAGAAUUCCAGGUGUAGCGGUGAAAUGCGUAGAUAUCUGGAGGAAUACCGGUGGCGAAGGCGGCAUCCUGGACCGGCAUUGACGCUGAGUGAGCGAAAGCCAGGGGAGCAAACGGG